ACACUCCUACGGGAGGCAGCAGUGGGGAAUAUUGGACAAUGGGCGCAAGCCUGAUCCAGCCAUGCCGCGUGAGUGAUGAAGGCCCUAGGGUUGUAAAGCUCUUUCACCGGUGAAGAUAAUGACGGUAACCGGAGAAGAAGCCCCGGCUAACUUCGUGCCAGCAGCCGCGGUAAUACGAAGGGGGCUAGCGUUGUUCGGAUUUACUGGGCGUAAAGCGCACGUAGGCGGACUAUUAAGUCAGGGGUGAAAUCCCGGGGCUCAACCCCGGAACUGCCUUUGAUACUGGUAGUCUUGAGUUCGAGAGAGGUGAGUGGAAUUCCGAGUGUAGAGGUGAAAUUCGUAAAUAUUCGGAGGAACACCAGUGGCGAAGGCGGCUCACUGGCUCGAUACUGACGCUGAGGUGCGAAAGCGUGGGGAGCAAACAGGAUUAGAAACCCGAGUAGUCCCAUGA
rnacentral:rRNA from 1 species